GACGAACGCUGGCGGCGUGCUUAACACAUGCAAGUCGAACGGAAAGGCCCUGCUUUUGUGGGGUGCUCGAGUGGCGAACGGGUGAGUAACACGUGAGUAACCUGCCCUUGACUUUGGGAUAACUUCAGGAAACUGGUGCUAAUACCGGAUAGGAGCUCCUGCUGCAUGGUGGGGGUUGGAAAGUUUCGGCGGUUGGGGAUGGACUCGCGGCUUAUCAGCUUGUUGGUGGGGUAGUGGCUUACCAAGGCUUUGACGGGUAGCCGGCCUGAGAGGGGGACCGGCCACAUUGGGACUGAGAUACGGCCCAGACUCCUACGGGAGGCAGCAGUGGGGAAUAUUGCACAAUGGGCGGAAGCCUGAUGCAGCAACGCCGCGUGCGGGAUGACGGCCUUCGGGUUGUAAAGCGCUGUCGCCUGUGACGAAGCGUGAGUGACGGUAAUGGGUAAAGAAGCACCGGCUAACUACGUG
rnacentral:rRNA from 1 species